AAGCGGGGUUUCUCGAAGGAAAACUAAGGGUCUAGGAAAAUUGGUCGUUCUUUUACGUGUGUGUCGUCGGUGGAUUUCGGAAAACUUCGUGUGAACUCGUAGCAAGCUCCGCCUUUGCGUAGCCAAUAACAGCUACAGCGUAACCGCUGUCGUAGCCACGCUGUAGAACAUGCUUUUCAAUGUUCUUUUUUUAAAUUUGAAGAAAAUGGAAUUAGAAAUACGUUGCACGUGUCUGUACUUGUAUGAAGAAUAUAAUUUAAUUUAGUUAAAAAAUAAUAAGUUACAAUUUUGUGUGAAAAUAUUGGUUAAAAGUUUUGUUAAAACGGAAUUUUGACAUUUGAAGCGUCGGGCCGUCAGGUGAGAUGUGUAAUGGCGUGCGAUUCUCCCCGUUUGCGCUUUACACGUCGCCUGGCGUCCACCGGCGAAUAUUUCAUGCACCAAUGAACGCAUUCUGGUCCCGAAUUAUGACGGUCAACUGGCCACCGGACUGAGGAGUACAUAAUCAGAUCAACAAACACAGCUUUUGAUAAAAGGUGCAGCGGAGCGAUACAUCAGGGCUGACAGUUAUCGGCAGAGUUCAUUUUUAACGCCAUUGUUGGAGUGUCCAUCGAACGCAACAUGAAGAGAGCCCUAAGGGGAUGAGUGGUCAAUCGACACAUAAUUUAUGAUCGUAGUGUAAAUGCAGUAUUUGAAGUGAGAAGCACUUCCUUCGACCACUUAAAUGAAGAUCAAGAUGAGGAACGGUAUGAUUUAAAAAUGAAAACGAUUAACAAUAUUAAAGUAGGUAUUCCUUUUUAAUUUGGUUU